GAAUAUACUUUGUCAUCCUGAUGCUUUUGGGGAGGCAGGCUGUGCUCACGCCUGUGCUCUUUCUCUCUAGAGAUCUCCUAUUUUUUCCCUCCCACCUGAGACUCUUCCUCCUCUGCCAGACACCUGUUCCAAGGAAGCUCCUGCAACAAGGUAAGGUGAAUCAAGCCUAGGUGGCCCUUGGCUUCUAUCUGGGUCCCAGGGCUUAAGGGUGCCGAUUACUUCAGAGCCGGCUGAAGUGACUUACAGAGCUGGGUCUUUGAUUUCAGGGUCUGGGCUUGUGUCAUGAAGGUUGAGUAUCCAGGGUGACAGUGAAGAAUCCUACUCCCACCGCAAGAGUGGAUUUAAGUGUUCCUGAGAGGAAGAGGAGUAAGACAUCUUGUUGGCCUGUGCCCCAGGGCGAAUUAGAGGAAGGGAGAGACUCUGAAGGAAGGAAAAGAAGAAACUUUUCAGAGAAUCCUCAAGAGACCCAUCUCUGGGAUGAAUGCAGCCUGUGGGCUGAUCAAGGGAGCACGGCUUUAGUGCAUUCAAUUCAUGAGCACCCGCCAAUCUGUCCUGAGGGAAAACCCUGCAGACUGAGAGCACUGAAAGCAUAGUCCUCAGCCUCAUGCCUUUUGGCUGAGAUGUCAGCCUCUGCAGAAGCCGAAGGCCAUCAGAGAUCCUGUCCAAUCAUCUGGAAUUUAGGCUCCACCAGCUGUCUGAAAGUGACCCACAGAUGAUAAGAGCAGGACAAGUCCUUCCUCUCAGGGGCCAGAGGUCUCUCUCAAAGUCUCCUGUGACUCUCCCUCCUCCUCCCUGCCCAUCACCACUACCCCAUGUCAUCCGGCUAAUCCCACUUCAAUUCAGCUCACCACCUGUAAAUACAUCUGGUUGCCUUAAUACAUACAACCUGUUCCUCACCAUUGUUCAUUUUUGUGGGUUACUUUUAGCAAGCCAUGGCUCAGUUAGGAAAAAAUAGGAACCACAGGGAGGAAUUUGAGACUUAGACCCAGGAAAGAGCACAUCCUGUGAAGCCAAAAAUGCCACUUCUACUACUCUCCAUUCAUGUCCUCAAGCACUGCUUUCCAGGUGCCACCUCCCACCAAAGCCCCAUUCUCCAAAUCAGACAUGCCCAAGGCUCAAACCAAGUACCUGUGGAUUCAGGGUUAUAGUGCUGGAGAAACCAAAGACUACGGGUCCAAAUGCACGUGCUCCCCAGAUAGACGGUCAAAUCAUCAAUACUUAGGGCUCCGUGAUCCCUAUGGAACUGACCACCUGGUCAUGAUGGAAG
rnacentral:lncRNA from 1 species